rnacentral:ncRNA from 2 species
GGUUUCCGUAGGUGAACCUGCAGAAGGA